rnacentral:rRNA from 1 species
UACGUAGGGUGCGAGCGUUGUCCGGAAUUAUUGGGCGUAAAGAGCUCGUAGGCGGUCUGUCGCGUCGGUCGUGAAAACUUGGGGCUUAACCCUGAGCUUGCGGUCGAUACGGGCAUGACUGGAGUUCGGUAGGGGAGACUGGAAUUCCUGGUGUAGCGGUGAAAUGCGCAGAUAUCAGGAAGAACACCCGUGGCUAAGGCGGUUCUCUAGUACGGUACUGACGCUGAGACGCGAAAGCGUGGGGAGCGAACAGG